CAUUCGUAUGCUGAUAAGAGUUUGCUUAUCGUUAAAGUAGCAUUCGAUUCAACGAAUUUAUUUAAUAAUGUCGUACCUUAGUAUCGAUUGCUUGUAGGCAGCUGGGCAGCUAGGCAGCUGCUCGGUUGCACGGCGAAGCCCACUGUUUGACCCGCAUGCUACAGUAGCUACUCGCCAUGGGCAACCAGCAUAAAAGUCAGUCGCUUGCCCACCGGUAGCCAAAUGUCAACCCUACUAUCUACUGCACCCUAAAAACUUGCCAAAAAACGAACUCGACCCUUCACAGUUUCUAGUUCGCAUAGUCAAGCGUGAGAAAGUUAAGGAGAUCUCGAAGUUUGCUCCGAGGAUAACUAAUUCGUGUAAAUCUUGACUGAUUUAUAGGCACUGUGAAACGAUAUCAACUGGUUGCUCGAGUUCCCAGCUCCCAGUUCCCAGUUCUCAGGCACCCCAACUGCUCAUAGAUCUUGUGCGUGUGCAUGUCUUGUGGUGGUGGUGGCAUUUACCCACCACCAGCACAACCACUUAACGACUCGAGGGAUCUCGAAUACCAGCAUAAACAUUACCAUUUCAAUGCAUUCCCCUAUAUAGCAUACACACACAUGUGUAUUUCUUGAACCCUCCUCCGUUGUUAUGACCUAACGGCACGCAGGCCAUCGGCAAAACGGGGCACGCCUGCGUGCGAAAGUAUUUUCAAUUGUUGAGCGGAACCUUUAUUGCAUUUCGUGGUGGUUGUUUACUUCAGCUCAGCUAUAAAUACUCGCACAGAUCCAUGCGGCGGCACAGUUCUCUCUGGAGUUUUACAAAGUGAAGAACAAAAGUUUUAAAUCGAAAAAAAAAGUUCUUUUAUACAGUGAAUUAACGCUGGGCCGCCACCAUCUGUUGGUGGCGGCUAACCCAAGUUGAGUGUCUCUAAAGUACAGUUUAAAACUAAACCAGUUUGAGAUGCCCUUCCAAGUACAGUUAAACACUAGUUGCAUGUGAUCGCAAAUACUCUGCGCGAAAUUAAAGGCGAUUGAAGAAGAGAUAAUCAAUAUGAAGAAAUUCUUUAACAAUGUUGACAAUACAAAUUUGUAGAAUUUAUACAAAAAGAUCGCCGCAAAGAAAAUGCAAGAAAAUUAAACAAAUAAUCAAGAAACCCCAUUAGACAAAUGUAUAAGUCUUCUGCGAGAUAUAAAAAAAUUUGGAAUUUACUACAUAAUCCCUGGAAAUGAAUGAAAAAAUAUUACAAAUUUAAACAAAUUGUUGAUCAAAAGAUAGCAAAGAAAUGUCUGGACCAUAUAAAAGAAUUUCUUCAACAAGACCAAUAAAACUGUUCAACAUACUAACGCUGCAAAAGCAAUGCAAAUAAUAAUAUACAAGAAUAUAUAAUAUAUACUUAUAUAUAUUUAUACAUAAUACAAAUAUUCAACAAAUUACAACAAAAACUAAGAAAAGACCAUUUUUAUCAGAAAUUUCCGGAAUAUUCUACAACAUAUCUGAAUUUUUAAAAAUAAAAAAAUAAAUAUACACAUACAACCACAAUCAAGAAUCUUCAGGAAUCUUCAGGAAAAUACCGAAAAUAAAAUAUAUAAACAAAUAAUCAACUAAAAUCUCCACAACUUACUACAAUUUUCGGAAACUGAAAAUUCAGAUAGUUCACAAACGGAUCACUUCAAUAUAAAUGGAAUUUCAUCUACUUACAAACUAACGUAGCGCAAGCUACAACCAGAAAAACCAUCUUUAAAGAUUAAACAUCGCAUCUGGAGAAUUGCUGGCAAUGAAGCUUGGAUCAUUUACUUGUUGCUUAUAUCCACCAUAACCAACAUUAAUCAUCUUUAAAAAAAAACUAUAUCUUAAAUAUACAUUUUAAUCAGAGAGAGGCAUUACGACAAUAUCUUCCACUUGCACUUCAA